rnacentral:lncRNA from 1 species
GUGGGCUUUUAAAUGAUGAAAUAUUGGAGAUUUGUAGAAAUUCUGUGACAUCUGUGUGUAUGAUUACUGUCAUGAUAGAACAAGCCAAGACAAUUACAGGGAAUUAGAUCAUUUGUACAAUUGUCCUAUCAUUUGCCCAAUUAUACAAACAUUCCUCCGUCUGUUUCCCAGAUGUUCCAAAAAUGUUAUUAUUUUAAGAGAUAAGAG